rnacentral:rRNA from 1 species
AUGAACCUUCUCCUUGCCUUGGAGCUGCUGCUGCUCCUGCUUGCCUUGCCACGCCUUUCUUCUACCUCAAAUUCCACACAUUCGCCACUGGAUCAGCAGGCAGAAGCGCUUCUCCAAUGGAAAUCUAGCCUAAGCGGUUGGUGCUAUGAUUACCUGGACACAUGGACAAAGGGAACCAGCCCCUGUGACUGGACCGGCGUUGCCUGCAGCAGCGCAAUGCUGCCUCGUGGCCGUGACCAGGGUGAUGCUGCCCUAGCUGUGUCCAACAUUUCGCUUACAUACUGUGGCUUUAAUGGCAGGUUGGACAGGCUCCACUUUCUAGACUUACCCCAUCUUGUUUAUCUGGACCUCCGUGGCAACUCUCUCUGGGGCUCAAUCCCAUCAAGCAUCGGUGUUCUUGGCAAGCUCACUCACUUGGAUCUAUCCAACAAUGGCCUGAACGGAUCUAUCCAACAAGCAUCCCUAGACUUGCCCCAUCUUGUCUAUCUGGACCUCAGUGGCAACUCUCUCUGGGGCUCAAUCCCAUCAAGCAUCGGUGCUCUUGCCAAGCUCACUCACUUGGAUCUAUCCAACGAUGGCCUGAACGGAUCUAUCCAACAAGCAUCCCUAGACUUGCCCCAUCUUGUCUAUUUGAAGAUUGGUAACAACCUCCUUUCGGGCAGAAUCCCUUCAAGCACUGGGGCUCUUGCCAAGCUCGCAUACUUGGAUCUGUCUGUCAACAAUCUUGAUGGAUAUCCCAACAUUCAUAGACUUGCCCAAUCUUGUGUAUCUGAGCUUCAGUCGCAAUGCUCUCUCGGGCCCAAUCCCACCAAGCAUUGGCACUCUUACCAAGCUCGUAGUCUUGGAUCUAUCCUUCAAUGGCUUGAACGGAUCUAUCCCAACAUCCAUAGACGUGCCCAAUCUUGUGUAUCUGAACUUCAGCCGCAACGCUCUCUCGGGUCCAAUCCCAUCAAGCAUUGGCGCUCUUACAAAGAUCAUGGUCUUGGAUCUAUCCUUCAAUGGCCUGAACGGAUCUAUCCCAACAUCCCUAGACUUGCCCCAUCUUGA